AAAAUUUAAAUUUAAGAUACUAAAAUAGUAAAUAAUUAUUUAUUGAAACUUAAAUAAUUUGGCGGUAUUUUAGUUCAUUUAGAGGAAUCUGUUUAAUAAUUGAUAAUCCACGAAUAAAUUUACUUAAUUUAUAAUUUUGUAUAUCGUUGUUAAAUAAAUAUUUUUUAAUAAAAUUAAUAUUUAAAAAUUAAUAUUUGAAAUUAAAUCAGAUCAAGAUGCAGAUUAUAAUUAAGAUUAUAAUGGAUUACAAUAAAUUUAUUUAAAUGGAUUUUAAUUUGUAAAAAUUAAUUAAAAGUGGAUUUAAAUGUAAUUUUAUUUAAUUUAUUAAAAUGAUUUAAAAUUAAAAUAUGU
rnacentral:rRNA from 1 species